rnacentral:lncRNA from 1 species
AUGCUGGGGCCUCGCCGGCGCUGAGGAGCGUCGCCUGCUCGCAGUGCUCCGCGGCCUCCUGGGCCCGUCGCCCGCCUUUCCGCACGCAUCGCACCCGGCCGCCGCCUCUUCCUCCGUCGGGCCCCGGGCCUCUGCGCAGACAACAUGGAGGCCGUGAAGACCUUCAACAGCGAGGUUCGUACCGCAACCCGGCCUCCCCGCCAGGCUCGGCCCGGCCCGGCCCGGGGCUCGCGAGCCGAGCAAGGGCGCGGGCCGCAAGCAGCCUCCCCCGGGUGGGGCGACGGCGGCCGGGCGGCCGUGGGGGAGGGGAACGGCCCGCGCCCCUCCCGGGGCCGGGCAGGGCUGAGGGAAGGCAGGGGGAGGGCCGGUCCCCAAGGCGGCCGCGCCACGCUCCCGGGUGGGUUCCACCGAGGACUAUCACCUCCCACCCCCCACCUCGCGCACGGCCCGUGGCCUGGCAGGGUCUGAACUGUUUGCAGGACAUCACUCUGCAGGCCCUCCCCGGUGGUGACUGAGGAAGCUGACACACGGAUGCGAGGCCCUGGAGAGGACCCACGGUGUGGUGAUCCAUGGUCACGUUACACGUAGUGUUUAUUAUUGAGGUUCUGUUGACUAGGUGACUUGGCAGCCAGGGACUUCGCUAAUUGGAUGGUUGGUAGCAGGCAAAUUUAUUCUGCGAUCUCCCCCCCCUCCUUUUUUUUUUUUCUUUUUUAAUUUCUGCUUGCCCUUCUGAUCAUCAGUUAGGGAGGAAAAGACACAAGUGCUCGGGAGAGUGUGUGCACUCAGAGGGGGUUAGAAGCUUGGAGAAUCAUUUGCCAGGGCCUCAUUCACAUGUCAGGCCAAGCAGAUUUUUAAUUUUCUUUUUUUAAUGCAGGUGUCCAAUUUUUACUCUUUGCUGGGUUUACUGAUCUGAUUGGAAGGCAGGCUUCGACAAAAUAAAUUCGAUUUCUUCUUAAGGAAUAAUAGCAAUUCGGACAUUAAAUGUAGCAAAUUCCGGCUCAGCUCAGCAUUAUCUACUUGUACCUUUUAGAAACAUAAUUAAAUGUAUGCUAAUUAGCAUAGUUUUCAGAACUUUUGAUUUGGGGAUGUUAAUGCUCAGUAAUAUGACAUUUAAUGUCUUAAGUACAUGAGUUUUUAAAAUAGCAUCUGUGGCUGCCCAAAUGGGACAGUGCUCUUAAAUGCCUUUCUGCAAUUUCAUCGUAAUUUUUGUUUGUUUGUUUAUUUAUGGUAGGUAGCCUUGGGAAAGGCUGCAAAAAGGGUUGUUGAAAGUUAGAUCAAGUUCUUGAAUAUGCGUCUUACUUUAAGUAGUGGUGACCUUCCUGAUACUGAGAGCAAUACAUUUGGAAAUCUUGUGAAUUUAUAACUGAUAAUAUGGGCAGUUAUCCUCUUAUGAAACUUAAUUCUCUCUCCCAAUGAUAUAUAUUUAGAAUAUGGAAUAAAAGGAAUUUAGUGAUACUGUAAAUAACUUUUUUUUUGGUUUUUUGACACAGGGUUUCUCUGUGUAGCCCUGGCUAUCUUCGAACUCACUUUGUAGACCAGGCUGGUCUCGAACUCAGAAAUCCGCCUGCCUCUGCCUCCCGAGUGCUGGGAUUAAAGGCGUGCGCCACCACUGCCUGGUUCCUGUAAAUAAGUUUUUAGUAUGUUGUUAACUAUAUAAGAAAACAGCCAAGUUGCUUUUUAAUUUGCUGCAUACAGCACUAAUAAUGAAGUUCUUUAGUUACAAAAAAAAGGUCCCUUCUUAUGUGGGCUUGGUGGUGAAUGCCUUUGAUGAUGCUAGUACUCUGAGAGGCAGAGGAAGAUGGGUCUCUCGGAGUUCACGGCCAUAUGUACAUGUAUAUGAGUGUACAUAUAGAGUUCCAGGACAGCUAGGACUGUAAUUUCUCUCUUAAAAUAGCAACAACAGCAAAACCUCACUUAUUUCCAAAUUACCGAAUUUAACCCUCUUCCACUGUUGUACUGGCUAGUUUUGUGUCACCUUGACAUAGGCUGGAGUGACACAGAGAAAGGAGAUUCAGUUGGGAAAGUGCCUCCAUGAGAUCCAGCUGUAAGGCAUUUUCUCAAUUAGUGAUCAAGGGUUUCAGGCCCCUUGUGGGUGGUGCCAUCUCUGGCUGGUAGUCUUGGGUUCUAUAAGAGAGCAGGCUGAGCAAGCCAGGGGAAGCAAGCCAGUAAAGAACAUCCCUCCAUGGCCUCUGCAUCAGCUCCUGCUUCCUGACCUGCUUGAGUUCCAGUCCUGACUUCCUUGGUGAUGAACAGCAGUGUGGAAGUGUAAGCUGAAUAAACCCUUUCCUCCCCAACUUGCUUCUUGGUCAUGAUGUUUGUGCAGGAAUAGAAACCCUGACUAAAGCCAGGCGGUGGUGGCACACGCCUUUAGUCCUAGCACUCCGGACAGAGGCAGGCAGAUUUCUGAGUUCAAGGCCAGCCUGGUCUACAACGUGAGUUCCAGGACAGCCAGGGCUAUACAGAGAAACCUUGUCUUGAAAAGACC